AACAUUUUAAGAAACAUUUUAUUUAUUAUUGUAAAGGCAGAAAAACAAACAAUAAUUCCAUUUUGUCAUUAUAACAUCUUAGGAUAAAAGCACCAACACCGAACAGUAACAGGUUUUUAGGGCAUUUAAGAAAGUAGGUUUGCUGUUAUUAUUGCACCUCAAACCAGCCCUGCUUUACCACUCAGAGAGAACUACACUAUGGUCUCAGAUGUACUCCGGUGUAUACAGUCCAAAGUACAAGUUCACCAAACUGACUUAAUCUUGUGACAUGAGGAAGAUGCCAGAUACACUGCAGCAUUUACCUCAGUCCUCACAAGAACCCAUAAAGCUUAGAUGUGGGAUUGCUAAAGUUGUUUUGUGACAGUGAGAAUUAUUGAGGAAAAGGGAAAUGGCUGCAAAAUGCCUAUCAUAUGAAUUGACCUAGCCCUGAGCAGGGUUAUAAAUAUUUUCUGAUGGUACUGAAGUUUGUGCAGGGGUGAGGGGGGAAUUUAUAUUAUUACAAGCAACCUAAGCAGUUCCUGAGUUAAAACAUCUGGCAGGAUUUUGUAAACAGCCUUGGUUACAAUCAUGUUAAAAUCUGUAUUAAAUUCAAAAGGUUAGAUUUCCAAAAGUCAUUCUCACCGACACAAAUGUCAACAAGGCUAGACUGGACCAUCGAAAGCUGCUUUAGGCGUGGGAUUAAAAUCUUUGCCCUGCAGACAAACAGCGGAAGAGAAGCAGGAUUUAAUAGCUGCAAAUUCCUUGUUUUAAGUGAAGGAGAGCACCACAUGGUCUGUCAGAAUAGUUAAUGACUGGAAACAACUGAAACCAUAUAUGCAAACACCAAGGAUAAAAAAAAUUAAAUAGUAUUAACAAUCAUUAUAAAAGUCCCAUCAGUGCUGGUAACACAUGGUCUAUCGUCUUCAAUAGUUUCCUCAAAUGAGUUUAAUGACUCAUUGCUUGACUUUUUCAAUAAAGCUUUGAAAAUGAGUCUAGUCUUUGCUCAUGCACACACUUCAAGUGAAAAACUCACACAAACAAAAUUGUGAUGGACAAAAAAAAACUUGGCUUCUGUUACUCAAAAACACACAAAAGGUAUUUCCAAGUGCUUUACAUCAUUGUCUAAAUGACAAAUGAACAUUUUGCUUACUUGAUGUGGCCUUGUCUUUAAGACAUCCAAACAGACAAAAUGAAUCACUAGGUGAGAAGCUUGACAAGUAGUUCAGUAUGCACCAGUAAGACGACAUUGCUCAAAGUUCAGUUGUUAAGAGCAUGAGCACCAAGUUUCUUAAAAAUUGGGAUAUUAAAAAUGAGAAACAAGUUUUUUUUUUAAUAUAUAUAUAUAUAUAUAUAAGUGUGAUAACAGUGUGCUGGACUUCUGCACAAUAGCACCUCAGUGUCAAACAUGGACAGACUACUCUCUGUACUCUAUAUACAUGAUAUAGGUGCGGUUUUGCUGCCAUGUUACCACCACCAAUGUGGCAAUGCUUUGCUCUCCUUGGCUCCAAGCCCUGUCUUAACAGGUUAAGCACCAAUACAUCCCAUUACUUAUAUAUUUUAUAUGUCAAUAUAGACUAUAUAUUUAUAUAUAGAUACAUUUCAUAUAGCACUUUUUUAUUGACUGGAGACCUACUAAACCAAGUGAGUGUGUAUUGUACACUAAAACUGCUUAGGAAGGAUUUUUGAAAGCUGGUUCCACACAGUAGCUGUAUGCAGAAGGGCUCUACAGUCCCGUGUACACAAAGUAUAUAUUUACCACACAGCGUAUUAACAUGAGAAAGGCCGAAGUGGCUUUACAAGGUUUCCUCUGUACAGCACCAACUCUUCCAUUUGUUUGUGGUGUUUUACUAAAUAAUAAAUAAGAUCAGGCACAGUUCAAAUAGCACCAAUGUUUUCAAACUGUAAGCCAAGUACACACGCUAUUGCAUACUACAAUAUCAACACAGUAUGGAAUUUAAAAAGAAAAACGUGAAACAUCUGGCAUAAAUAUAAUAAUCUAAAUUAUACACAACUAUACAGUCAAUCAAACACAUUCACAGUACAAACAUCGUUUUACCCAUUUGUACAAGUAAAAAAAGAAGAAAGCAGUGAGUCCAGUAGUUUUGUUGUGGUUAUGGUAAUGUUACUCCCAGUGUGAGAUUCUCAUGUUUGAAAUGUAGAUAAAUGUUACAUACAAGAGUCAAUGUACUUGACAUUUAAAUAAACCUGCAUUUCCAAAGUCAGACAGGAAAACUAUUAUCUCAAGCUUAUUAACAGUGAUAGUUCUGCUGCUGUCAAACAAAGUAGUGUUACUAUCAAAAGGAAGAAAAGUGUAAUUAAGUCAGAAUUUCAUCAUCUGUGUCUGAUAGUGGCUAAGCCUAAGAUGUGUCAGAAAAAUGCAAUGACAUUUUUGUUAAACUCUAUUGGAUUAAAAUGGAAAAAGUUGUUUCAUUUGAAUCAAACACUGUGUAACAUGGCAGCUAAACAAAAGCUUAGGGGCUAAAGAAUGUAGCCAGUAUCUGGCUUGUUCUAUUAUGCUACACAAGCCUCUGCAGGUCAUUUCCAGUGUGACGUCGGGUCAAUAGUCUAGAUCCCUUAUUUGGUUUUAUGACAAAUCACAAACAGUUAAAGAAACAAAAAGCAAAGUGUGAGGAAAGGUGGCUCUGAGAUAAAUGAUAAGUAAAGGGACUUAAAGGUGUUGAAAGGACUAGCCUCAAUGUCUAGAUGAGGUGAACGUUUGAAAUGGCGCUCAAUGUGAUCUCUCUUCUAACACAGUAGCCAUUACAAAAUCACUUUAGAUUGAAUUAUUA
ensembl:lncRNA